rnacentral:tRNA from 1 species
GUCGUAGCUCAGUGGUAGAGCGCUUGCCUAGCACGUGUGAGGCACUGUGUUCAAUUCUCAGCACCACA